rnacentral:rRNA from 1 species
GAUGAACGCUGGCGGCGUGCCUAAUACAUGCAAGUCGAGCGAAUGGAUUGAGAGCUUGCUCUUAUGAAGUUAGCGGCGGACGGGUGAGUAACACGUGGGUAACCUGCCCAUAAGACUAGGAUAACUCCGGGAAACCGGGGCUAAUACCGGAUAACAUUUUGAACCGCAUGGUUCGAAAUUGAAAGGCGGCUUCGGCUGUCACUUAUGGAUGGACCCGCGUUGCAUUAGCUAGUUGGUGAGGUAACGGCUCACCAAGGCAACGAUGCGUAGCCGACUUGAGAGGGUGAUCGGCCACUCUGGGACUGAGACACGGCCCAGACCCCUACGGGAGGCAGCAGUAGGGAAUCUUCCGCAAUGGACGAAAGUCUGACGGAGCAACGCCGCGUGAGUGAUGAAGGCUUUCGGGUCGUAAAACUCUGUUGUUAGGGAAGAACAAGUGCUAGUUGAAUAAGCUGGCACCUUGACGGUACCUAACCAGAAAGCCACGGCUAACUACGUGCCAGCAGCCGCGGUAA